rnacentral:rRNA from 1 species
UACGUAGGGUCCGAGCGUUGUCCGGAAUUAUUGGGCGUAAAGAGCUCGUAGGCGGCUUUGUCAGUCGGGUGUGAAACCUCCAGGCUCAACCUGGAGCCGCCACCCGAUACUGCAAUAGCUAGAGUCCGGUAGGGGAGCAUGGAACUCCUGGUGUAGCGGUGAAAUGCGCAGAUAUCAGGAAGAACACCAGUGGCGAAGGCGGUGCUCUGGGCCGGAACUGACGCUGAGGAGCGAAAGUGUGGGGAGCGAACAGG